rnacentral:tRNA from 2 species
GGAGGGGUGGCAGAGUGGUUGAAUGCACUGGUCUUGAAAACCAGCGUGCCGCAAGGUACCGGGGGUUCGAAUCCCUCUCCCUCCG